CCUGGGAACAGAGCAGCUAUCUUCCCUAUCAUCCCGAUGCUUCUCAUGCGUUCCACUUAAUGCUCUUGAUAAACACGGAACCUUGCAGUUUCUAAACUCCAUGUUUGCGGGUUCAAGAUUAGAAAUCAUGCCCCCACGACUUGAAAGCACAGCUCAAGGUCUUUAAGAACUUGCACUUCUCCAUGCUCGAGCUUCAAAUGGAGACCACUAGGCAUCCUAAUGAAUGUUAAACUCAGGAAGAUGCCUCGGGAAACUUGGAUAACGACCUUAACCUGAAAAAUAAUGGAAAACAAGCAAAUAAAAGAGAAAAUAACAAAAUAAACCAAGAAAUGCAUAAAGAAAGAAAUCUAACUAAGAAAAUGCAAACUAAAAGAAAUAAAGAGUAAAAUCAAGGAAAAGCUAAGUAAAAGCUCUAUAGAAAAGCAUGAAAUUCAUCCCAAAGAGAACUAAAUGAGUGCCAUAAAUGACAGUCAUCAGGUGGCUCUGUCUGGCAGAAGCUUAAAGUUGUGAAAGCUAGUAUCAAGUCCUUGCACAACAAGCAUUUUGGUAAUAUUGAUGAGAAAAUUGAUCAAGCUCAUAAUGAGCUUCUUGAGACUCAAAAUUUGAUGGCUCGGAAUAAUGAUUACUUGGAGCUAUAUGCUAAGGAAUCUGAAGCUAUUGAGGUUGUUAAGCACUCUGAUAUUCAAGAGAGCAUCUUCAAGAAAAAAUCAAGGUGCUGCUCAAGGAUCCUAAUGUUGUUUCCAAUGAGAUAAUUUCCUUUUAUAAGUCUCUUUUAGGGACUAAGACUUCUUGGCUGCCUGCUGUUGAUCUUGUCACUAAAAGGAGAGUGUACAUAUACUUGGAGGCCCGGGUACAAUGCUAAGGCUAGAAGAGAUUUAGACAAAAAAGUCAGGGACGGACUUAGGGGUACAUUGAACCAAGUUAACAUAAUGGCUCUCCAUAAGGAAGUUGGUUUCAUGAGUGACACUGUUCGAGCUAAAUUCAUAAAUAAGUGCAAGCAUCCUGAUUUUGUGAAACGUUCUAACCAAGCAAGAGAUAAUCAGUUAUCUGGCCAAACAUUAGAGAAGUUUUACCCUUGCCAUCGCCAAGGUAGCGUAUCUACUCCUCAAGGAGUUAAAAAAAAUUGGUAAGUGUAUAAUUUUAGUGGCAAACUUAUGAUUUUUAAUAUAAGAAGCAAGUAGCUAGAAACUUUUUCGCUACUAAGAGAUGACUAUAAAUGAUUCUUAUUACAAUUGCUCUGUAGUCCAUGUCCUCCUAUUUUUUGUUGUAUUUAUUUAGUGCUAACAACUUCUUCUAGUACAAGGCAAAGAAGAAGGAUGAAAUUUUACCAAAUACUGCUGAAGUCUACGAGAGCACUCAUUCUGUAUGCGUGGGCAAUGAUGAAUUUGAAUUGAUGGGUGACAAGACUCAUCAAGUCAUGAAUGUUCCCUUAGAAUUUGCAAAAAAACAUUUCAGCAAGCUUGGGAAAUCAAUUGAUGUUAAGCUACGACUUUAUAAUACUGAAUUUGAAGCGCAACUGAAGAUUAACACUUUUGAAAAUAAGAUCAUUCAAUGUUUUAUUAAGAAUGGUUUUGAUGCAUUGAUUGAUAAUUAUGAUGUUUUAGUUGAAGAAGCUGGUGUAGGGGAGUUCUAUAGUUUUUUAUGUUUAUUUACAAUUUAAUUGUUAUGAUUAAUGCAUUGAAAUUUUGUUUUUUAA